rnacentral:piRNA from 1 species
UCCGGUGGACUGACGGCAACCUCUAC